rnacentral:rRNA from 1 species
UGGCUUCCGGAGCUAACGCGUUAAGUAGACCGCCUGGGGAGUACGGCCGCAAGGUUAAAACUCAAAUGAAUUGACGGGGGCCCGCACAAGCGGUGGAGCAUGUGGUUUAAUUCGAUGCAACGCGAAGAACCUUACCUGGUCUUGACAUCCACAGAACUUUCCAGAGAUGGAUUGGUGCCUUCGGGAACUGUGAGACAGGUGCUGCAUGGCUGUCGUCAGCUCGUGUUGUGAAAUGUUGGGUUAAGUCCCGCAACGAGCGCAACCCUUAUCCUUUGUUGCCAGCGGUCCGGCCGGGAACUCAAAGGAGACUGCCAGUGAUAAACUGGAGGAAGGUGGGGAUGACGUCAAGUCAUCAUGGCCCUUACGACCAGGGCUACACACGUGCUACAAUGGCGCAUACAAAGAGAAGCGACCUCGCGAGAGCAAGCGGACCUCAUAAAGUGCGUCGUAGUCCGGAUUGGAGUCUGCAACUCGACUCCAUGAAGUCGGAAUCGCUAGUAAUCGUGGAUCAGAAUGCCACGGUGAAUACGUUCCCGGGCCUUGUACACACCGCCCGUCACACCAUGGGAGUGGGUUGCAAAAGAAGUAGGUAGCUUAACCUUCGGGAGGGCGCUUACCACUUUGUGAUUCAUGACUGGGGUGAAGUCGUAACAAGGUAACCGUAGGGGAACCUGCGGUUGGAUCACCUCCUUACCUUAAAGAAGC